GGGAGCGCGCGCAUCGAGGCACCCUAGGCAUGCGUAGAGUUACUGUAUAUGCUACCAAAUACCUUUGGGAGCAUAUACAGUAACUCUAGGCCUGUGUCGAGAAUAGCGCCCCCUAUAUCUGUCUGCGAGGCUUGUAUUGGCUGGCGUUGUACGAUGCUUCGUCUAAAACGUGGAUAUGGCUACACAAAUAACGCGUUCUUAAAGUAAAAUCUUCAUAAAAUGCCUCCAUUCACCCAUGUUACAUUUUCCAGUGAAAUUUACUCACCUAGAAUGCAUAACCAAACGAAGGAAAGGAAGAACAGGCGACAAACUGUUUCAAAGACACCAAAGCGGCAACGGGGAUACCAAAGCUAGAACCCCCCAAGGAACCCUAGCCGAUUGUUGAGAAAUGGUCAGAAACCAACUUCACUGGCCACCCGACUUCCGAAAACAGUUGUCCCGACGUCUACUUCCAGCUACUUCGGCACGCGGCCGGCCACACGGGCUGGGCCUCCGCCAGAGCACGACUAGACGCCGAGCGCGCCAAACGCUCGUCGGUGCGACAAGCCGGCAAUGCAUCGGGCCAGCUUUAGUUGCCGACUGAACUUUGGGUCCUCGUAUUUUUUUGUUAGACAGCAUAAAAUAUAUUGCACUAAGUACUAACUACAAUAAUAACAAGCAUUUUUCAUGCUGCCACAGCUGAUGCACACUGCAGAAGCACCAGACUGCGAAUGUGGACUUCUUUAAGUUCUUUUUUAAUGACUUUGCUCGUACUGCUGCUUGGUUUCAACUCACGUUUCGCUAAAAGGCCGCAUUUUUUAUUUGUCCACAUUGGUAAACCGCUUUGCAUUGCUGUUAAACUAGUUCGUUCGCAAAUGGUCCGGUUUGACUGGGUAGAAGGUACCUUUUUGCAUGAACCAUGGCAAGCAGAAAUACUAGUUAAACACUCUGUGAAAAACGCAAGAAGAAAAAAUACGACCUCAUUGCAAAAUUUGAGUGCGAACGAACAAGCAGUGCAAAGGAUUCUUUUAAAGCUUGUUAGAGCAAACGCGCAUGCCUACUUCCAACGACAAGCUGAUAUACCCUCUGGUGACUCGGGCUAAGCGAAAAUAAAAAAAAGAAAGUGAAGUAAAACAGUCCAGCGGCGGAGAAGAAUGCGGGCAAGGGGGGAGAACUGAGCCCAAGGCCGGGUAGCGUUUCCGGGUAACCGCAGUGUGGAGCUAGGAGGGAAAAAAGAAAGACGUGCGCCACCAGGGAAGGCAGGCGGAGAAGCGCGGGAAACUUUCUUUUCUACCGUUUUUCUUUUCCCUCCAUGUUUUCGACUAGUCUCUGCAGCUGGGUGACAUGGCCUGGAGUUGCACACUGCGCUUGCGGCAGGGAAGCCAGCGGUGUCUGUCGUCAGUAAAUUUUGAAUAAACGGUGCGAUCUAUCUGAGCCCAAGAUGAGAAAUUCAGAAACACGCCCUAGGCAGCACCGCAAAAGCACUUGCACGCGGAAAAAUUAACAUGGAGGCAUACGCUCUAGUGCGUCGCAAUCAAUAUACAGACUAUUUGAAAUAUCUUUUAAAGCUGUAUAGGUUUUUUACCUAUACAGCUUUACCUAAUAUAGUUAUAAAUUUGUCUGAAACCAUGGAACGGCUUACAAUAGGCAAUAUUAUAUAGGUUUCUUUUGCUUGUCCACCAAAGCUGCUGUCAACUUUAUAUGCUUCCACGUUUAGCGCUUUCAUACGUCGCUCUUGCACAAGACGAAGGAAUGACACCUCUUCCCAAAUGGCAGACUGCGCACUGCAUGUAGGCGCCUACGUAACCAAGCUCCCACGCAACCUAUAGCUCCCAUGUGAAAGAAAGCUUCGUCCUUAGAAUAUCCGACUCAUGCAUGUACUGCCUCAGUAUACGAAACCGCAUCCGUCGGAAGUCUCAUUGUGGAUAGCUUAUAUAUGAAAGACGUCCCGUAGAAUAUUACCCUGCACUUCUUCUGACACACAGUUUUUUUCUGAGACCGAAAGUCCCUUCUCACGUUAUAUUCGUGUUCGCGUCAUACACGUGCAUAUACGGUAUGUGUUUAAUCGGCUUCUGAGUGACGUGUCACACGGGAUCAUGCACGCAGCCCGACAGCUGCUGAGCCGAUUCUUAUAUUUAUGAAGCCGCGUAGGUGCAGCUUUGUCUCGCAGAGGCCGCCAAAUUUAACGUCUUGUCAUCGGUCACAAGAAAAGCGGGCAUACUAAUGUAACGUGGUGCGGAAAGUCUUCACGAGUGGUUCAGGCAGCAAUUGAACAACACCUUGAAGUUGAGCCUUUAGGCCACGCGUUCACACGCGCCAGUGCGUUCCGACAGGCUGCGCAGUGCUUUGAAGAAGUGAGAGGCAGCAAUUUCUUGUUGUUAUUGUUUUUGCGUAACAAAUGUUGACGGACGAAUAUACACAAUGACGGAAUAUAGACCAGCUAUACAAAAGCGAUGACGGCGAUUCAUCACACGGGGAAAAACAGCAACCAUCACAUACAGACGUUAGUGACAGUUCAUCUGGCAGUUAGACCAGCUUCCGGCUAAAGGAUGGUUCUGUGUUUUUUUCUGGACUGAUCUAACUCUAGUAAUUAGAGCGAAUUAUGAAAUCAGAAUCAAAUUUAUUUGCGCCAUAUAUGCGGGUGCGCAUGCAACGACCACUAUUAUGAGAGCAAGAGUACGUGGAGACCAGUGUGCAAGUCGCAAGAAGAAGACAUAUCGCGUAAGUAUUACAGUUCCUUUACCAAAAGGCACAAGAUUUCAAUACUUCAAGAACGGAUAUGUUUGUAACACUAUUGGAUCGUUCAUCAUUUCUUUCUUUUUUUGUAGGUAAAUUAUCGAGAAAAUAUUCUGUUUAACGGGGAACAAGAUUUAAUAAAGUGGAUAUUGCGUUAGACAGUUAUCGUAAUAGUCAUAUCUGCGCUGCAGAAAGAGUCAAGCAAAAUUGUUCGUGAACGGCGUGUUAAUUCUAAACGGCCCUGUCGUAUCGCAUCAAAAAUCGUCAAAACGAUAUAAGCGCAGCUAGGCGACUCGCGGACUGUACAGUUCAGGAAAACAUUGGAUGUUUUCCCUGGGUAGUGUGAAAGAAGCGAUUAUACGAAGCCGAACUGUGAAGAGAUGUCAAAAUCUGCCAUUUUUGCAGCUAUUGUCAAUUCGUCUAAGAAUAAUUAAGGCUGCAGUCCAUCGAUGUCAAUCUACAAAUGAAGCAUUUCUGCUGUCGACGUGUCAUUUGACUGGGAAGAACUAGAGUUAUAUCAAAUUCUUCCAACGUUUGCUCAAUGAACUAAUGACAUUCAACAAUCAAGCAGUUAAGAAUUAAUAAAUUCAUGGUAGAUCAUGAGUGCUUUCUUAUGCGCCGUCACCUGUGAGGCAUAUCCACCAUUUUCGUGCAAAGCUCCCUGGAACGCGUACUGACGGUGAAUGCAUGCACGCACAUAUCGAACUUCGUGCACGUAUAGACGUGAUGCUUUGACGACGAAUAUUUAUUAAAAUUCAAAUUAUUUAUUUCUGCCUUGUAAAGGUACAGACAGCGGAGGCGCACAAGAAGAUGUCAGAUACAGCUUGACAAAGCCGCAGCCCCCUUUCGCUUGGCAGCGUCUUCGUAGCAAGACUUUUAAAACAAAGAUAACUGCACAGUGUAACAACAGUAUUACAAUAAUGAGCAAGAACAAAAGGAAACAAAACAAGAUUAUACAAUAUUUAAACAAUAUUCACAAAAAGGAAAACAGAACCUACAUGGUAACAAACAUAGCACCCAAACUACUGUUUGACGCAUUGAAGAUGUCAAAAUUAUUAUAUAUAUUAGCUAUUACAUAUUCGUAUAGAGCUACCAAUCCGUGCAAAAUCUAGAUCGGUGGUUUUCAUUACACACGCACGCACGUACACGCACAACACAUGCCAAGCCCCCAUAAGGUAAAGGAAACGCUUUAUUAAACAAACGUUCCUUCGAUGUUAGAGUACGGCAGCUCUGCCUGGGACCCAGAGACAAACACAGCCAUUAAUCAACUGGAACGGAUACAAAAACGCGCCGCCCGGUUCGUUACCGCCAACUAUGAUUUCACUCAGAGCUAAUCACAAAUACGUGUUAACUUGGGAUGGCCACUUCUCGAGAACCGACGGAAAUAUUUGCGACUUAAACUUUUCUUCAAUAUUUACACAGGCAAGACUGGUUUGUGCAGGGACAGAUACAUGAAGAACCCAAGUUACAUAUCCACCAGAACAGAUCAUCCGCUCAAAGUACAAGAGUACAAAUGCCGUAUCAAUCUAUAUAGGCAUUCCUUCUUUACAAAAACUGUACAUGAUUGGAAUAAACAGCCGCCUGAAAUUGUCGCAGCAACGUCAUCUGUGUUUGAAAAUUUGUUGUCGAAACAUUUAUAUGUUUAGUUCCAAAAUGUAUUUUGCUUCGAACAGAAUAGGAGAUUAACAUUUCCUGUCCACGGCUUCUUGCCUUAAUCGCUGUUUUUUAAUACAUUAUUAUUAUUAUUAUUAUUAUUAUUAUUAUUAUUAUUGUUAUUGUUAUUAUUAUUAUUAUUAUUGCGUUGUACUAUGUAAUAAAUUGUAUUUAUAUUGUAUUUCAUAAUAACCUUAGGUGUAAUGUUGCAUUAAGUACUGUAUUUUUCAAUAUUAAUAUUGUGGCGUAUUAUGUAUUAGAUGUAUCCUUUUGUACCAUCAAUCAUCUGUAUUUCCAUCAUUUUUACAUUCCUUCCCUCUACUCUAAUGCCCAACAUUGGGCGCUGCGGGUGUGUAAGUAAAUAAAUAAAGAAGGAAACAGCGAAAAAAGAAGAAGAAAGGAAAAGUCCGUCUGGCACCGUCGCAUCUCCCUCUCCCAGAAGAAAUGAAGAGGCGAAGGGGGCUUUGCUACUCGCAACGCCGCCCGCUCGCGGGACCGCAGGGCAAGGGCGCGAGAUCCCGCCAAAUGCUGGAUGGCAGCUUGUUGGAUGCCAGCUCGUUUCGCGUCUCGACAGUUUAGUGGACUAGCUGGUGCAUUUGUGCUAUCAUGGACUGCGCAUAUAAACGCAAACUACACAAGGUAACAAAUGGACAAGAAGAGCGCAAGCCCUUUCCAUGAAGUGGAGCCGCCUUGUCUCGCCAUUCAGAAUAUGCAUACUCGAAGAAAAAAAGAAGAGCUUUAUAUGAAAACUGAUCAAGCGUUCGAGAGUUGGGGCUAGGAAAUCAAACAUUGGAACGACACUGAUUAAAUUGAAGCAUGGCUUGCGAAUGUCCUGCUACGCUCGAAACUGUUAUCACCAUCCGGGAAGAAACCAGAUGAAAAAAGAAAACUGUAAAUACCCAGUACUGUACGAUAUACGUUCGGUGCGUUGCAGGUAAGAAUGGAUUGUGUGUGGCACUUCUCCGCAUACGGACUUGAGUAUAUAGAUCUAGGAACAUCAGACAAAAAGGCAUGUACGUGCAGCACUGUGCGCACCGAUAUGUAAGUUGUUGCUCAAUUGUUCUGUUGUCACAUUUUCAUAGUUUACCUGUGAAACUUUGUCACUGCAGUCUCGACGUUGCGUGAACCUAUAUAAUUUGAUCUCAUGGCUCUUUGCGAGCUACUUUGUUUGUGCAACCAUGUGUUGUGGUAUUCAUUGAUCGCGUUGCCUGGAUGUAUAUCUUUUGCAACAAUAUUCCGAGCCAAGUCAGUAAAUCAAUCCUUCCUGUCAUCAUGUUUGCUUGGGCGGUUCUAAAGCGUGAAUCACGUCGCAGAAGUUGAACGCACUAAUUUUCACUGGAAGUGCACAGUAUGUGUCUAUACAUACAUGUGCAACGACGAAAUAAUAAUUUUGUCUGUGGCUGUGCCAGGAUCAGGAUUUCUUGCACACAAAUGUGAAAAAGUCCACUAAAUCAUCUGCAUGGUUCACAGAGUUAUUCAUUAUUAUAUUAUUUGUUUGUUUGUUUGUUUCAGUUUGUAGGAGCACUGUAACUAUCCAAGCUUCACUCUCGACGGGGACAGAGAAAUACCGGAUGCUGUGCCAUCCAGAGCCAAGAACAUGGUACGGAUGAAAAAGAGACUCCCAGGCAGUACGCAAAACUAUCAGCACUGUCCUUUAGCUGUAUCGUACUAUUUCAGGCAACAAAGACUACUUGCAAAUUGUUAACACUGCACCACGAAAAAAAUAAUGUAUUUUAUGAUUGCAAAAUAAACCCCUAAAGAAGAAAA